rnacentral:tRNA from 1 species
AAAAAAGCCGGAAUAGCUCAG